rnacentral:rRNA from 1 species
AUAAUUAUAUAAGGUCUAGCCUGCCCAAUGAUUAAUUUAAUGGCCGCAGUAUAUUGACUGUGCGAAGGUAGCAUAAUCAUUAGUUUUUUAAUUGAAAGCUUGUAUGAAUGGUUGGACGAAAUAAAUACUGUCUCUUUUUAAUAAUUAAAAUUUUAUUUUUAAGUUAAAAAGCUUAAAUUUAUUUAAAAGACGAGAAGACCCUAUAAAGCUUUACUUUAUAUUUAAUUAUGAUUUUUAAGAUUAUUUAUUUUUUUAAUUUAAUAUAAAGUUUGAUUGGGGAAAUUUAAAGAUUUAAUUAAUUCUUUAUAUUAUAUAUCAUUAAUAUAUGUUUAUUUGAUCCAGAAUUUUUGAUUAUAAGAUUAAGUUACUUUAGGGAUAACAGCGUAAUUCUUUUAGAGAGUUCAUAUCGAUAAAAGAGUUUGCGACCUCGAUGUUGGAUUAAAAUUAUACUUGGGUGCAGAAGUUCAAGUGUUUGGUCUGUUCGACCAUUAAAAUUUUACGU